rnacentral:tRNA from 1 species
UGGUUCCGCCCGGGAUCGAACCGGGGACCUUUCGCGUGUAAAGCGAACGUGAUAACCACUACACCACGAAGCC